AUGCUUGCUUUGGCAGCACACAUGUUAAAACUGGAACUAAACAGAGAAGAUUAGCAUGGACCCUGUACAUGCUAAUUCAUGAAGCAGUCCAUUUUUUU
ensembl:snRNA U6 U6 spliceosomal RNA